GCCUCGAUGGUGAAAUUGGUAGACACAGCGGACUUAAAAUCCGCCACCUCCAGAAAUGGGGUGUGCCGGUUCGAUUCCGGCUCGAGGCACCA
rnacentral:tRNA from 2 species